UAGGGAAUCUUCGGCAAUGGGGGCAACCCUGACCGAGCAACGCCGCGUGAGUGAAGAAGGUUUUCGGAUCGUAAAGCUCUGUUGUAAGAGAAGAACGAGUGUGAGAGUGGAAAGUUCACGCUGUGACGGUAUCUUACCAGAAAGGGACGGCUAACUACGUGCCAGCAGCCGCGGUAAUACGUAGGUCCCGAGCGUUAUCCGGAUUUAUUGGGCGUAAAGCGAGCGCAGGCGGUUAGAUAAGUCUGAAGUUAAAGGCUGUGGCUUAACCAUAGUACGCUUUGGAAACUGUUUAACUUGAGUGCAAGAGGGGAGAGUGGAAUUCCAUGUGUAGCGGUGAAAUGCGUAGAUAUAUGGAGGAACACCGGUGGCGAAAGCGGCUCUCUGGCUUGUAACUGACGCUGAGGCUCGAAAGCGUGGGGAGCAAACAGGAUUAGAUACCCUGGUAGUCCACGCCGUAAACGAUGAGUGCUAGGUGUUAGACCCUUUCCGGGGUUUAGUGCCGUAGCUAACGCAUUAAGCACUCCGCCUGGGGAGUACGACCGCAAGGUU
rnacentral:rRNA from 1 species